GUUCCGGAAAAUAUUGGACAUCUCUACCGCAAGUAUGUUAUCAGAUCUGUUAUGGUGAUUAAAGCUUCAGUAAUCCGGGAUUCAAUGUUUAAUUAUUUGAAACCCCAUCUUCCUGAUGUUAUUCUGGGUCGCAAUGUGCAGCUUGAAAACUUUCCAGGAUUUAAAAUUAAAUGUUUAAUGGAGAAAAUAGAGAAGUUUAGUGGAUUGGGUUUGAUUGUUCUACAUAGUGGUUCUAUUGAUUGCUCUGUGGAUGGAAGAGAUUGAAAGAUUAAGAAAUUUUGUUGAACAAUCCUAGGAGGGUAUAGUAUAAAGAAAAUGUUCAGUAAUAUGUUUGCCUUUUAAUACUUGUUUUAGAAGAUUUAUAAAUGGUGUUCUAUUGUAUAGUGUCAUGGCUAUUUUAACCAACAAUAAGUGCCUAAAGAUUUUAUAAAAUCCAUAAUAUUCUUUACCUUUUUUAAUAAAUUUGAAUGAGUGUGCCAUUCUUGUUUAAGAAUUUUAUAAAACAAGCAAAGUAAUGUAAUGCAUAAGAUAUUUAUAGAAUGUAAACCUUUCUUCCCUUCAGGUUAAGGAUAAAAAUAUUCAAAGUUUUAAGUGAGAAAAAGUAUUAAAUGGUCAUGACACAAAAGGAAUAUAUGCCUCUUGGGGAACCCGCCUUGCUAUAUGCUGUUAGGUUGUUCCAUAUUGAAUUAUGAUUAUAGUCUACUUAUUACUCAGUCCAGCUUUUCUUUUUAUAAUAAUGGAUUAUAAAAAUGUUAAACCCUAAGCAAUGUUUUAAAUUUAUAUUGUUUUAGGCAUUUAAUAAUUUGAAAUAAAAUGAAAAUGAGCUUAAUUAUACCAUGUUUAUGUUUUUAAGUAUAAUAAUCUGAUUUUAAAUAUGUUUUUGGAACAACCUAAUAAAAGGGGUCAGCGCAUCUGUGCAACCAUACCUCUUGAUCAGAGCUGUAUUUACCUUGCUUAUUUAUAAAGUGUUAAGAGUUUCAUUUUAGAUUAUUGUAAGAAUAAAAUUAUAGUAAAAAUUGAAGUUUCACUUCAAAAAAGCAAAGAGAGCUUACAGCCCUGCUCUUGGGUGAUGUGGAAAAUGGUUGCAAUCAUGCAUGUUUUAAGAGUUUAAAUUUCAGGUCUGUUCUUUUCAUUAUUCUGAGGAGAGCUUAAUUUACGAGCAUUUACUUAUCCUACUGAUAAAAACUGGAGCAGUCUGUCAUUAUUAAAUGUCUUGUCUGUCCUAGGUGAUGAAAGUUGGUUCAAUUAGCUGUAUAUUCCAAUCUGUUUAAUUUUUGAAUGAAGAACAUUUAUUUUUAAAACUUCAGUUUUACCUUUUGAAGGGCAACAGUGUUUUUAGAAUGUAUUUGCAUGUCAUCUUUAAGCUGUAUGAAAUAAAACUAUUGUGUUUGGUUUUUGUUCAACAAUUACUGUGUUUAUAUGCACAUUUUUUAAUAAAUUUUCAAUUCUCACACUGCA